GACGAACGCUGGCGGCGUGCUUAACACAUGCAAGUCGAACGCAGUGGCGAACGGGUGAGUAACACGUAAUCAACUUGCCCUUAAGAGGGGCAUAACAGUUGGAAACUACUGCUAAUACGCCAUUCUGAAGGAGUGGAUUGCGUCGGAUUGGGUAGUUGGUGGGGUAAUGGCCUACAAAGCCGACGAUCUCUAGCUGGUCUGAGAGGAUGACCAGCCACACGGGGACUGAGACACGGCCCAGACUCCUACGGGAGGCAGCAGUGGGGAAUUUUGGACAAUGGGCGCAAGCCUGAUCCAGCCAUGCCGCGUGUCUGAAGAAGGCCUUCGGGUUGUAAAGGACUUUUGUCAGGGAAGCGGUACCUGAAGAAUAAGCACCGGCUAACUACGUGCCAGCAGCCGCGGUAAUUC
rnacentral:rRNA from 1 species